rnacentral:tRNA from 1 species
GAGGGUGUAGCUCAGUGGUAGAGUGCUUGCCUAGCAUGUGUGAGGCACUGGGUUCGAUCCUCAGCACCAUAU